UAUUCAAAUCAUCUUUUGACAUAAAUUUAGGUUGUGCAAUCGCUCAUAUACAUUUAACAUUCAUAUAUUCUAUUUGUAAUAUUGCUCCACAUUAGUGCAAUUGUUAGAUCUAUGUAAAAUUUAGGUAAAAUUGUGGUUUGCUCUUUACCAUUGACCAUUAACAUCUAAAGCAUGUGGUGUUUGAGGUUCUUUAUUUGCUGCCAAUUAUCUUUUAUUUAUGGUUUUGUGAUUGUAAUCUUUAGAUUUAUUUGUGUACUUCUUAACCUAUGGUUGCUGGCAAUGAGUAUAUUUUUUUAUUGUGUUAAUUGAAAAGCUAAUUGAUUAAGAGUAAGUAACUUAGGAUAGUAUAGUGCAGCAGCUAGAUUUUAGAUUACAAGCUUGAGAAAUAGUAAAAAUCAUGUCUUCAUCUAUAACCUAAGUAAUUUAUCCAACCAUAUUCUGUUCAUGUACAUGAAGAAGCCUAAAUAUUUUAAACUUAAAAGAAUGUUUUAAGUUAACUUUAUGAUUAUCAUCUAAUGGUUUGUAUAUCUUGAUAAGUUUCAAACUAUGAUCUAAAAUCUAGAAGAUAGGAUGGGGUUUAUGUUUGUUAAAUUUGAAUAUAAGAAGACAACAUGAUUCAACUUUGAAAGCAAAAUGUCUAAGUUUGUGAGUUUGUUUGAAUUUUAUAACUAAAAAGUAACUGCAAGUUAAAAGUGGCUUGUAAAAUUCCAAUGAAAUUAUAAGGUCACUAAAGUGACUUGAAUCACUUUCUUGAGAAAGUGGCACAUGCUUCCUACUAUGGCUCUAUUUUUUCAUACAUAACUAUAUAAAGAUUGGAAAGACUUGAUGUCUUGUGGUGAAAACUGCUAAACAUGGUUAUUAGGCCAUAAAAGUAAAUGAAACACUGCAUCAAAUAAACAUUUGGACUUAAUGACGGUUGUCAUACUUCUUUACUUUGUUUUCUUUUAUAUGAUUUACAUUUGUCAUCUGCAUUAUCUUGUUGCUUGCAGAGUUGGUAAUAUUCAUGAGAAUGUUUUGUUUGUUUUUCCCCCAAGAAAAUUGAAUAAGCUCCCAUAUACCAAAAAAAGAAUAGAAAACUUCAAUAAGCACCCUAUAUUUGAGAACUACCUGUAGUCAAAUAAUUUCACCAAUUCUUGCUAAUAUAUUCAUUUAACUUUAACUCGAACACACCAUAUAUAGUUAAUUUAAUAUUUAUGCUUCCUGAAGGAAAAAGGUUUAUAAUAUAAAUAGAUGCUAUGGUAAUCAUUAUUAAUGUCUUUUUAAGUGGUGGCAUUUUCAUUUAAAUUUUAUCAAGUUGCCAUAAUUCAUUGGGUUAUGACUUGUCCUUUGAAUUUAAUUUAGAAGACAAUUUUAUUCUUCAUUUCUAAGUUUGCCAGCUGAAAAUUUUUCUCGUCCUUUGUUGUAUUAUCAUGCUAAUAUGCUGUGCUUGGGCCAUAUGGAGCUUGUUCUUGCCAAAAAUACUGUAGUAAAAUAUCAUACUUCAUUUAAGCAUUUCAAAUAUAUUCAUGAUUCUAGCAAAUUCUUUAUUUGAUUUUGCAAAUGGAUGCAUAGGAGAAGGAAAGGAGCAUGGACUUGUAAUUCCAUAGUCACCUUGUUGGUUUGUUCUUUUAGCAAUAAGCUUUUAAUUGGCAAAAGACUCGAAGAACUUGAAGCUUGUGAAUUUAUAAUGUAUUUAAUUAUGCUAUUGUUAUUUACACUAUAUGUCUUGCAAUUUAUGGCUCAAUAUAUUGAAUCAAUGCAAGUAUCUUUUCUUUUAAGACUUUCAUUGUUUUACUACAAUUUGAUGAUUUUUUGGGUUAAAUUUUUUUAAAGAUAUUAUGGUAAUUGAUCUUGGUAUCAAUGUGAAAAUAGGAAUGGAAAAGAAGGUAGUUGGCCUAGUUCCAAAUGAUUUAAAACCAGGGAAUAUGCAAGAAAGGAACAAGGAUUUUGUUGGAUAAUUAUCAGUAACCAUUGUGGACGCUCGAAAGCUUUGUUAUUUCUUCUAUGCUAACAACUAUAUGCUUUUAUCUAUAUGUAUUUCACAAGAUAAUUACAUUAUGCUUUAUGUAUUAGUGAAAUUUAGCUACUUUUAGUCAUUGAUAUGUUUUCUCCUUUUAGAUUUUUAGCUGAUUUGUGGUUUGUUCGAAAUUUUGCAUCAUAUUAUUCUUGACUAGAUUGCAUUGAUAUUUAUGUACAUAUCUGGUUAAUAUUCACCCAAAUAUCUCUUGUUGGUUCCUCUUGAAGUUUUAGUUUGGAACUUUCUUUCCAGGCAAGACCGAUCCAUAUGUUAUUUACAGCCUAGGGGACCAAGCCAUAUGCAGCAAAAAGAACAGCCAAACCACAGUCAUUGGACCUCUUGGUGAACCAAUUUGGAAUCAGGUUGAUCUAGGAUCUCUCCAAGACACUCUGUCAAUAGACAAGAUUGUAGUGUUGCAAAGAGGCUAAGGACUUUUUAGAAAGAGUUCUUAUGGAGAAAUACUACUUCGACUGACAUAUAAAGCAUAUGUUGAGGAUGAAGAGGAUGACAAAGCUGAGGCGGAAUCCACUGACAUUGAUGCUUUGGAUUGUGAUGAUGAGUUACCUGAUUCUUAUGUGAAAGAAGAAACAGAGUAUUCUAAAGAAGCAGAUAAAGCGUCAUUCAUGGAUGUCUUAGCUGCUUUAAUUGUGAGUGAAGAAUUUCGAGGAAUAGUAGCAUCAUAAACUAGAACUACCAAAAUAUUGAGCUGUUGUCUAUUAUAAAUGUUGAGAGAUGGACUUCUCAUCGUGUAAAUGACCUGUAGUAAGUUUUAAGCUUUUGCAGCUUGAAUUCAAAUCCAGUAGCAAUUUCUGUUUUCAUUUUUUA